GCCUGGCUGGCUCAGUCAGUGGAGCAUGUGACUCUUGAUCUUGGGGUUGUGAGUUUGAACCCCUUGUUAGGCA
rnacentral:tRNA from 1 species